rnacentral:rRNA from 1 species
AAAGCAGGGGACCUUCGGGCCUUGCGCUAUCAGAUGAGCCUAGGUCGGAUUAGCUAGUUUGAGGUAAUGGCUCACCAAGGCGACGAUCCGUAACUGGUCUGAGAGGAUGAUCAGUCACUGGAACUGAGACACGGUCCAGACUCCUACGGGAGGCAGCAGUGGGGAAUAUUGGACAGGGCGAAAGCCUGAUCCAGCCAUGCCGCGUGUGUGAAGAAGGUCUUCGGAUUGUAAAGCUUUAAGUUGGGAGGAAGGGCAGUAAAUUAAUACUUUGCUGUUUUGACGUUACCGACAAUAAGCACCGGCUAACUCUGUGCCAGCAGCCGCGGUAAUACAGAGGGUGCAAGCGUUACGGAAUUACUGGGCGUAAAGCGCGCGUAGGUGGUUUGUUAAGUUGGAUGUGAAAUCCCGGCUCAACCUGGGAACUGCAUCCAAAACUGGCAAGCUAGAGUAUGGUAGAGGGUGGUGAUUUCCUGUGUAGCGGUGAAAUGCGUAGAUAUAGGAAGGAACACCAGUGGCGAAGGCGCACCUGGACUGAUACUGACACUGAGGUGCGAAAGCGUGGGGAGCAAACAGGAUUAGAUCCUGGUAGUCCACGCCGUAAACGAUGUCAACUAGCCGUUGGGAGCCUUGAGCUCUUAG